CUCAUCGUUUUUUUUUUGAUUGGUUCAUUUUACUGAACGUAUUCUUUUUUCCUAUCAAGUAUGUGUUCAGUUCAGUAUCUAUGUUGUACUUUUUUCUUUGUUAAAAUGUUGUAAGUUUUUUUUUGCUCUUGGGUAAUUUAUAGAAUUUAUGAAAUACUAACAUUUAAAUACAGCAAAGGUUGAGUAGACUGCUUCAUUCUACAAGUGAAAUUGAGAACUCAACAAUCCUCGAUAGCAAAAAUCAUAUAACUAGAUUCAGAUUUCUUAAAGAACAGUGAUAGCCUAACAAUGAGUAAUUACAGUUUUGUUUUAAUUUUCACGUUUAUUUUGGCCAUUACCCACUAUGUUUUGGCGUUUAUUGGUGACUCAAUAGGAAAACCUAUAGAAUGUUACAAGUGUAAACAUGAUACCCGAAGUCCAGAUCCAAACUGUGUAAACGUAAAUGAAAAAACCACUAAAGAAUCCGGAGCUGACUUUUUCUCACUCACGGAGGGGCACGGAUAUGCUAAAUGCUUAUACACCAGGAAACCAGAGAAAGCUGGCGCAUAUGCUAUAGAACGAAAGUUGGUUUUCUUACCCGAUUCUCAUGUUCUUAUGGAUAGCCUCUAUUGCAGACGAAUUCGAGAAGAAAAUUUAGGAGGAGAGUGCAAACUUUGUGAUACAAAUCUCUGCAAUUCAAUGUCAGGUGGCCCGGCACCACCACCUCCAACCACCACCACCACCACCACCACCACGUCACCAUCAAGGGCAGAAUCGAUUGAAAUUACAGUUUCAGAUACUCACUACCUCUGCUAUCCAAGGCUAAGCUUGUAUGCAAAUAACACAAAACCGUAACCAAACCCCAAACAACCGCCAUGUCAUCACCUCAAAGUCCAACCACAAUAUCACCAACAAACACGUCAUUACCACAGAUGGAACCAAUUGAAAUGUGGAGUAAGGGUAUUCUCUACCUCUGUUAUUAUCAGUAGCGAUUUUUGAUGAAAACUGUGAACUUUGGGCAAGCGCGGAUUGUGCAAAAACUAGUGUUAUCGGAUGGAUUUUCGUGGGGGUUGGUUUAUUUUACUCAUUCUACAAAUAAAAAUUAAAAAAUUAUAAUAACUUUGACUAUUCUUUAGUAAAAAAUAUAUAACAAUAAUAAAACCAA